GUGUGACACAGGGGCCCCAAACCUGGUCCACUUAGACUAGGCCUUAGGGGGAUGGAGUAGGUUGAGUUUUAAGGUGCUAGGUCAAAAGGUCAGUAUACAGGGACCCUUUACAUUUGAUCAAAUAGGUAAUGCUUUUGUAUAAGGAAGGCCAUAACUAACAUUUCAGGGGCUUAGAGACCAGCCGUGUGACACAGGGGCCCCAAACCUGGUCCACUUAGACUAGGCCUUAGGGGGAUGGAGUGGUUUGAGUUUUAAGGUGCUAGGUCAAAAGGUCAGUAUACAGGGACCCUUUACAUUUGAUCAAAUAGGUAAUGCUUUUGUAUAACGAAGGCCAUAACUAACAUUUCAGGGGCUUAGAGACCAGCCAUGUGACACAGGGGCCCCAAACCUGGUCCACUUAGACUAGGCCUUAGGGGGAUGGAGUAUGUUGAGUUUUAAGGUGCUAGGUCAAAAGGUCAGUGAAUGGUGACCCUUUACAUUUGAUCAAAUGGGCAAUGCUUUUGUAUAAGGAAAGGCCAUAACUAACAUUUCAGGGGCUUAGAGACCAGCCAUGUGACACAGGGGCCCCAAACCUGGUCCACUUAGACUAGGCCUUAGGGGG